rnacentral:rRNA from 1 species
AUUCAGGCCUAACACAUGCAAGUCGAACGCGAAAGGGACUUCGGUCCUGAGUAGAGUGGCGCACGGGUGAGUAACGCGUAAGUAAUCUACCCCUGUAUUCGGAAUAACCCACCGAAAGGUGAGCUAAUACCGGAUACGUUUAUCUUGAUGCGAAUGAUGAUAAAGAAAGGUGGCCUCUUCAUGAAAGCUACUGUACAGGGACGAGCUUGCGUACCAUUAGCUAGUUGGUAGGGUAAUGGCCUACCAAGGCGACGAUGGUUAGCGGGUCUGAGAGGAUGAUCCGCCACACUGGAACUGGAACACGGACCAGACUCCUACGGGAGGCAGCAGUGAGGAAUAUUGCGCAAUGGGGCAACCCUGACGCAGCGACGCCGCGUGGAUGAUGAAGGCCCUUGGGUCGUAAAAUCCUGUCAGAUGGAAAGAAAUGUAUAUGUGCUAACAUCGCAUAUAUUUGACGGUACCAUCAAAGGAAGCACCGGCUAACUCCGUGCCAGCAGCCGCGGUAAUACGGAGGGUGCAAGCGUUGUUCGGAAUUACUGGGCGUAAAGCGCGCGUAGGCGGUUUGCUAAGUCAGAUGUGAAAGCCCUCGGCUUAACCGGGGACGUGCAUUUGAAACUGGCAGACUUGAGUACUGGAGGGGGUGGUGGAAUUCCCGGUGUAGAGGUGAAAUUCGUAGAUAUCGGGAGGAAUACCGGUGGCGAAGGCGACCACCUGGCCAGAUACUGACGCUGAGGUGCGAAAGCGUGGGGAGCAAACAGGAUUAGAUAC